rnacentral:rRNA from 1 species
AUUGAACGCUGGCGGCAUGCUUUACACAUGCAAGUCGGACGGCAGCACAGAGAAGCUUGCUUCUUGGGUGGCGAGUGGCGAACGGGUGAGUAAUAUAUCGGAACGUACCGAGUAAUGGGGGAUAACUAAUCGAAAGAUUAGCUAAUACCGCAUAUUCUCUGAGGAGGAAAGCGGGGGACCUUCGGGCCUUGCGUUAUUCGAGCGGCCGAUAUCUGAUUAGCUAGUUGGUGGGGUAAAGGCCUACCAAGGCGACGAUCAGGAGCGGGUCUGAGAGGAUGAUCCGCCACACUGGGACUGAGACACGGCCCAGACUCCUACGGGAGGCAGCAGUGGGGAAUUUUGGACAAUGGGCGCAAGCCUGAUCCAGCCAUGCCGCGUGUAUGAAGAAGGCCUUCGGGUUGUAAAAGACUGUUGUCAGGGAAGAAAAGGCUGUUGCUAAUGUCGACAGAUGAUGACGGUACCUGAAGAAUAAGCACCGGCUAACUACGUG